rnacentral:rRNA from 1 species
UACGUAGGGUGCAAGCGUUGUCCGGAAUUAUUGGGCGUAAAGAGCUCGUAGGCGGCUUGUCGCGUCGACCGUGAAAACUUGGGGCUCAACCCCAAGCCUGCGGUCGAUACGGGCAGGCUCGAGUUCGGUAGGGGAGACUGGAAUUCCUGGUGUAGCGGUGAAAUGCGCAGAUAUCAGGAGGAACACCGGUGGCGAAGGCGGGUCUCUGGGCCGAUACUGACGCUGAGGAGCGAAAGCGUGGGGAGCGAACAGG